rnacentral:rRNA from 1 species
ACAUAAGUAACGAUAAAGCGGGUGAAAAGCCCGCUCGCCGGAAGACCAAGGGUUCCUGUCCAACGUUAAUCGGGGCAGGGUGAGUCGACCCCUAAGGCGAGGCCGAAAGGCGUAGUCGAUGGGAAACGGGUUAAUAUUCCCGUACUUGGUGUUACUGCGAAGGGGGGACGGAGAAGGCUAUGUUGGCCGGGCGACGGUUGUCCCGGUUUAAGCGUGUAGGUGUGUGUUCCAGGUAAAUCCGGUU